AUGUUCCCGGCUGCUGCAGCUGCUUCCUCCAAGAAGCCCGACGUGAGCCCGUCGUCAGUUCACGAUCGGGCCGCCGCUGCCGCGUGCGACUCCGGCCUCGUCCUCACCACCGACCCCAAGCCCCGGCUCCGGUGGACGGUCGAGCUCCACGACCGUUUCGUCGAUGCCGUCGCGCAGCUCGGAGGCCCGGACAAGGCAACUCCGAAGACUAUUAUGAGGGUUAUGGGAGUCAAGGGCCUCACGCUUUACCAUCUCAAGAGUCAUCUUCAGAAAUUCAGGCUAGGGAAGCAGCACAAGGAGUUCGGUGAUCACUCGGUCAAGGAUGCUAUGGAGAUGCAACGGAAUGCAGCCUCUUCGUCUUCGGGUAUGAUGGGAAGAAGCAUGAACGACCGCAGCACGCACAUGAACGAGUCACUAAGGAUGCAGAUGGAGGUCCAAAGAAGGCUCCAUGAGCAGCUGGAGGUGCAGAAGCACCUCCAGAUGAGAGUGGAGGCCCAGGGGAAGUACAUGCAGUCCAUCCUGGAGAAAGCCUACCAAACCCUCGCGUCCAGCGAUUGCGCCACGUGGCCUGCUGCCGCCGGGUACAGAUCUCUAGGUGGCAGCCAGGCGCCGGCCCUCGACCUCGGCGGCUCCAUGAGCUUCCAGGACCUCACCCUGUAUGGAGGGUCGUCGAGCCAUCUGGAUCUGCAGCAGCACAUGGAGAUGAGGCCGACCAUGGCCAUGGACAGCUUCUUGGCGUUCAACGAGAGCUGCAUUGGAUCAGCAACAGUCAGGAGCUGCUCCACCGGGAAGAGCCCGAUGAUGUGGGGCAACGGCGAUGAUGAGCAGGCCAAGAGUGGUGGCAGCGCCGAUGAGCUUCUCCAGAUGGCGCCGUCGUGCAUGAUGGAGGCGGGUGGCGGCAGCGGCGGCUCAAUGGAUCCGAUCAUGUCAUUGUCCGGCGACUCCUUGGGCAGUAAGGGCUUUGACGGCCCAAUCAUCAGCUCAAAGCUUGAGAUGAGGUCAUCUCCACAGCAAGUAGGAAGUGAGAGGAACUUGUCCUACGGGUAA
rnacentral:rRNA from 1 species